rnacentral:rRNA from 1 species
UAAACGAUGUCGACUUGGAGGUUGUGCCCUGAGGCGUGGCUUCCGGAGCUAACGCGUUAAGUCGACGCUGGGGAGUACGGCCGCAAGGUUAAAACUCAAAUGAAUUGACGGGGGCCCGCACAAGCGGUGGAGCAUGUGGUUUAAUUCGAUGCAACGCGAAGAACCUUACCUGGCCUUGACAUCCAGAGAACUUAGCAGAGAUGCUUUGGUGCCUUCGGGAACUCUGAGACAGGUGCUGCAUGGCUGUCGUCAGCUCGUGUUGUGAAAUGUUGGGUUAAGUCCCGCAACGAGCGCAACCCUUAUCCUUUGUUGCCAGCGAUUCGGUCGGGAACUCAAAGGAGACUGCCGGUGAUAAACCGGAGGAAGGUGGGGAUGACGUCAAGUCAUCAUGGCCCUUACGGCCAGGGCUACACACGUGCUACAAUGGCGCAUACAAAGAGAAGCGACCUCGCGAGAGCAAGCGGACCUCAUAAAGUGCGUCGUAGUCCGGAUUGGAGUCUGCAACUCGACUCCAUGAAGUCGGAAUCGCUAGUAAUCGUAGAUCAGAAUGCUACGGUGAAUACGUUCCCGGGCCUUGUACACACCGCCCGUCACACCAUGGGAGUGGGUUGCAAAAGAAGUAGGUAGCUUAACCUUCGGGAGGGCGCUUACCACUUUGUGAUUCAUGACUGGGGUGAAGUCGUAACAAGGUAACCA